rnacentral:rRNA from 1 species
GAUGAACGCUAGCGGCAGGCUUAACACAUGCAAGUCGAGGGGUAGAGGUUGCUUGCAACCUUGAGACCGGCGCACGGGUGCGUAACGCGUAUGCAACCUACCUUUUACAGAGGGAUAGCCCAGAGAAAUUUGGAUUAAUACCUCAUAGUAUAUGUUUUUCGCAUGUUAGACAUAUUAAAGUUCCAACGGUAAAAGAUGGGCAUGCGUCCUAUUAGCUAGAUGGUAAGGUAACGGCUUACCAUGGCAACGAUAGGUAGGGGUCCUGAGAGGGAGAUCCCCCACACUGGUACUGAGACACGGACCAGACUCCUACGGGAGGCAGCAGUGAGGAAUAUUGGACAAUGGGCGCAAGCCUGAUCCAGCCAUGCCGCGUGCAGGAAGAAGCAUCUAUGGUGUGUAAACUGCUUUUGUACGGGAAGAAACACUCCUACGUGUAGGAGCUUGACGGUACCGUAAGAAUAAGGAUCGGCUAACUCCGUGCCAGCCGCCGCCGUAAGAC